rnacentral:rRNA from 1 species
CCAGACUCCUACGGGAGGCAGCAGUGAGGAAUAUUUGUCAAUGGCCGAGAGGCUGAACCAGCCAAGUCGCGUGAGGGAAGACGGCCCUACGGGUUGUAAACCUCUUUUGUCGGGGAGCAAAGCGAGUCACGUGUGACUCAUUGAGAGUACCCGAAGAAAAAGCAUCGGCUAACUCCGUGCCAGCAGCCGCGGUAAUACGGAGGAUGCGAGCGUUAUCCGGAUUUAUUGGGUUUAAAGGGUGCGCAGGCGGAGGUGCAAGUCAGCGGUCAAAUUGCGGGGCUCAACCCCGUACUGCCGUUGAAACUGGCGUUCUUGAGUGAGCGAGAAGUAUGCGGAAUGCGUGGUGUAGCGGUGAAAUGCAUAGAUAUCACGCAGAACUCCGAUUGCGAAGGCAGCGUACCGGCUCCACACUGACGCUGAGGCACGAAAGCGUGGGUAUCGAACAGGAUUAGAUACCCCAGUA